rnacentral:SRP_RNA from 1 species
GCCGGGCAUGGUGGCACGUGCCUGUAGUCCCAGCUCUUUGGGAGGCUGAGGCUGGAGGAGCUCUUGAAUCCAGGAGUUCUGGGCUGUAGUGCGCUAUGCCAAUCAGGUGUCCCCACUAAGUUCAGUGACCUCCAGGGAGCGGGGGACCACCAGGUAUGCCUAAGGAAGGAUGAACCAGCCCAGGUCGGAAAACGGAGCAGGUCAAAACUCCCAUGCUAAUCAGUAGUGGGAUCGAGCCUGUGAAUAGCCACUGCACUCCAGCCUGGGCAACAUAGUGAGACCCCCUCUCU